UAGGGAAUCUUCGGCAAUGGGGGCAACCCUGACCGAGCAACGCCGCGUGAGUGAAGAAGGUUUUCGGAUCGUAAAGCUCGGUUGUAAGAGAAGAACGUGUGUGAGAGUGGAAAGUUCACACAGUGACGGUAACUUACCAGAAAGGGACGGCUAACUACGUGCCAGCAGCCGCGGUAAUACGUAGGUCCCGAGCGUUGUCCGGAUUUAUUGGGCGUAAAGCGAGCGCAGGCGGUUUAAUAAGUCUGAAGUUAAAGGCAGUGGCUUAACCAUUGUUCGCUUUGGAAACUGAUAAACUUGAGUGCAGAAGGGGAGAGUGGAAUUCCAUGUGUAGCGGUGAAAUGCGUAGAUAUAUGGAGGAACACCGGUGGCGAAAGCGGCUCUCUGGUCUGUAACUGACGCUGAGGCUCGAAAGCGUGGGGAGCAAGCAGG
rnacentral:rRNA from 1 species